rnacentral:misc_RNA from 1 species
GUUUCAUUGUUGUUUCAUGUAAUCUGUGCUUGCCUUUGGAUUAGUUGGUGUGGAAGACUAUAGGCUUGAGUCAAUCCACCUUUUGCAGGUCUUAUGACAUUAACUUGCAAGGCAGUAGGCUGUAGCAUGGUUUCAUGUUCUAUUGUGGCUUCAUGGAGUAACAUAAUGAACAUUGCAUCUAGUGCAUUACAUUCCUUAUCAGGUUUAUGUCCAUGAUAAAUUUAGUAUUUACUUGAAUCUACUGUUUAUAUAUUAUUUUUCCUUUUUCCCUUUUAAGAUUUCCUUUCACUUUGACUCUUUGGAUAUUUUUUCAAGUCAUUGAACUUACCCUUUGUUUGUUAUGCUAAAUCUUCAUACAGGAAAAGAUAUCACAAUCGAUAAAAAAAAUGGGAUUUAUCAUAAUAAUCAACAUUUGUUAACAAAAUCAAUAUGUACAUUCUUAUUAUAGGGCUACUGCCUUCAGGGCCUUUUAUGACUAAUUUUGUUUUGGAAAUGCUUAACUUUUGGAAAAAAAAUUUUACUAGCUUCUGUAGCUUUCUUGUGAAACUUGUAGUAUAUUAGAAAAUAGGAAAAUUUUAUAGUUAUGGAUUUAGUAUUUACAUGGAGGUUAAGGCAUCUUCUUCCCAUAUGCUGUUAAGGGCAUUUUCUUUUAAAAUAA